rnacentral:rRNA from 1 species
CCUACGGGUGGCUGCAGUGGGGGAUAUUGCACAAUGGGGGGAACCCUGAUGCAGCGACGCCGCGUGUGUGAAGAAUCGCCUCGUCGCGUAAAGCCCUGUCAGCAGGGAAGAAAAUGACGUUACCUGCAGAAGAAGCCCCGGCUAACUACGUGCCAGCAGCCGCGGUAAUACGUAGGGGGCGAGCGUUAUCCGGAUUUACUGGGUGUAAAGGGAGCGUAGACGGUUCUGCAAGUCUGAAGUGAAAGCCCGGGGCUUAACCGAGGAACGGCUUUGGAAACUGUGGAACUGGAGUGCUGGAGAGGCAAGCGGAAGUCCUAGUGUAGCGGUGAAAUGCGUAGAUAUUAGGAGGAACACCAGUGGCGAAGGCGGCUUGCUGGACAGUAAAUGACGUUGAGGCUCGAAAGCGUGGGGAGCAAACAGGAUUAGAUACCCGUGUAGUC